rnacentral:rRNA from 1 species
AACAAAAACAUGUCCUUUUGUUUAUUUAUUUAAGGUUUAACCUGCCCACUGAAUUAAUUUUAAAUGGCCGCAGUAAUUUGACUGUGCAAAGGUAGCAUAAUCAUUAGUUUUUUAAUUGAAAGCUUGUAUGAAAGGUUGGACGAAGUAUAAUCUGUCUUUAUUUAAUUUAUUAUAGAAUUUAAUUUUUAAGUUAAAAAGCUUAAAUAUUUAUAAAAGACGAGAAGACCCUAUAAAUCUUUAUAUUAUUAUUAAAUUAUUUUAAUUAGUAUUUUUUUAUUUAUAAUUUUGUAUAAUAUUUUAUUGGGGUAAUAGAUUGAUUAGGAUAAUUCAUUUUGAUUUUUUACAUUAAUUUAUGAUUUUACGAUCCAAAAAUUUUGAUUAUAAGAUUAAGUUACUUUAGGGAUAACAGCGUAAUUUUUUUAAAGAGUUCAUAUCGAUAAGAAAGUUUGCGACCUCGAUGU